AAUAGAUACCCGGGUAGUCCACGCCGUAAACGAUGAGUGCUAAGUGUUAGAGGGUUUCCGCCCUUUAGUGCUGCAGCUAACGCAUUAAGCACUCCGCCUGGGGAGUACGGUCGCAAGACUGAAACUCAAAGGAAUUGACGGGGGCCCGCACAAGCGGUGGAGCAUGUGGUUUAAUUCGAGGCAACGCGAAGAACCUUACCAGGUCUUGACAUCCUCUGACAACUCUAGAGAUAGAGCGUUCCCCUUCGGGGGACAGAGUGACAGGUGGUGCAUGGUUGUCGUCAGCUCGUGUCGUGAGAUGUUGGGUAAUCCGCAACGAGCGCAACCCUUGAUCUUAGUUGUCCAGCAUUCAGUUGGGUCGACUCUAAGGUGACUGCCGGUGACAAACCGGAGGAAGGUGGGGAUGACGUCAAAUCAUCAUGCCCCUUAUGACCUGGGCUACACACGUGCUACAAUGGAUGGUACAAAGGGCUGCAAGACCGCGAGGUCAAGCCAAUCCCAUAAAAACCAUUCUCAGUUCGGAUUGUAGG
rnacentral:rRNA from 1 species